rnacentral:rRNA from 1 species
GUCUGUGGUCAGACCACCCUGAACAUGCCCGAUCCGACCUUGGAAGCUAAGCAGGGUUGGGUCUGGUUAACCAUUGGAU